rnacentral:rRNA from 1 species
UACGUAGGGCGCAAGCGUUGUCCGGAAUUAUUGGGCGUAAAGAGCUCGUAGGCGGCUUGUCACGUCGGGUGUGAAAGCCCGGGGCUUAACCCCGGGUCUGCAUUCGAUACGGGCUAGCUAGAGUGUGGUAGGGGAGAUCGGAAUUCCUGGUGUAGCGGUGAAAUGCGCAGAUAUCAGGAGGAACACCAAUAGCGAAGGCAGCUCGCUGGGACGGUAUUGACGCUGAGGCGCGAAAGCGUGGGGAGCAAACAGG